AACGUAGGAGACAAACGUUAUCCGGAGUUACUGGGCGUAAAGGGCGUGCAGGCGGUCUGUUAAGUCUGGCGUGAAAGCUCCCGGCUAAACCGGGAGAGGUCGUUGGAGACUGACAGACUGGAGGACGGUAGAGGCGAGUGGAAUUCCGGGUGUAGUGGUGAAAUGCGUAGAGAUCCGGAGGAACACCAGUGGCGAAGGCGACUCGCUGGGCCGUACCUGACGCUGAGUCGCGACAUCAUUGGGAGCGAACGGG
rnacentral:rRNA from 1 species